GGUAAUCAAAAACCCUAAAAAAUCCUAACAACCAACAACUAAGAAAUCCUAGCUUUCUAGCAACCGGAAACAACCACAAUCCACAAUCCACAAUCCACAAAUAAAAAAAAAUGCAAAAAAAAAAGAAACGAAAAUGAAAGAAAUGAGUGAAGGGGACUUUUUUUUCGAUUUGGAUUUCUAAGAUUAGAUCUUGAUUUUUUGGGUUUAUCGGUUGAAGCUUGG
rnacentral:lncRNA from 1 species